GACGAACGCUGGCGGCGUGCUUAACACAUGCAAGUCGGACGGAAAGGCCCUGCUUUUGUGGGGUGCUCGAGUGGCGAACGGGUGAGUAACACGUGAGUAACCUGCCCUUGACUUUGGGAUAACUUCAGGAAACUGGGGCUAAUGCCGGAUAGGAGCUCCUGCUGCAUGGUGGGGGUUGGAAAGUUUCGGCGGUUGGGGAUGGACUCGCGGCUUAUCAGCUUGUUGGUGGGGUAGUGGCUUACCAAGGCUUUGACGGGUAGCCGGCCUGAGAGGGUGACCGGCCACAUUGGGACUGAGAUACGGCCCAGACUCCUACGGGAGGCAGCAGUGGGGAAUAUUGCACAAUGGGCGGAAGCCUGAUGCAGCAACGCCGCGUGCGGGAUGACGGCCUUCGGGUUGUAAACCGCUUUCGCCUGUGACGAAGCGUGAGUGACGGUAAUGGGUAAAGAAGCACCGGCUAACUACGUG
rnacentral:rRNA from 1 species